rnacentral:misc_RNA from 1 species
GUAAGUUUCACUACUUGCAUAUUAGUUUCUUCUAAAAUGAUAUCCUUCGGGAAGGGAGGUUGCUUAAUAUGAAGGAUACUGUAACUACAUGUGAUGACCAUUCAUCUUGUCAUCACAAUUUAUGUGCCUUGUGUUCCUGUGAAAUUCUCCAGACUGUAUGUGGCUUGCAUGGAUCCAUUUAAUUGUUGUACGUUACCUCUUU